rnacentral:rRNA from 1 species
GGGCCCGCACAAGCGGUGGAGCAUGUGGUUUAAUUCGAUGAUACGCGAGGAACCUUACCAGGACUUAAAUGUAAGUUGCAUGAUUCAGAAAUGAAUCUUUCUUCGGACUACUUACAAGGUGCUGCAUGGUUGUCGUCAGCUCGUGCCGUGAGGUGUCAGGUUAAGUCCUAUAACGAGCGCAACCCCUAUCGUUAGUUGCCAUCAAGUAAAGUUGGGAACUCUAGCGAAACUGCCGGUGCAAACCGUGAGGAAGGUGGGGAUGACGUCAAAUCAUCACGGCCCUUACGUUCUGGGCUACACACGUGCUACAAUGGCCGGUACAGAAAGCAGCCACACCGCAAGGUGGAGCGAAUCCUUAAAACCGGUCUCAGUUCGGAUCGGGGUCUGCAACUCGGCCCCGUGAAGCUGGAAUC